ensembl:lncRNA
CGAAGGCACAGCAGCCGUGGUGGUGUGCCGUGGUGGUGUUUAUAAGUAAUCCCGCUAUGACCACCGACGAGCCAUCAACCAUGCAAAGUGUCAAUAGAGGACUAAAAUGGAAUUCUACUCCUCCAGCUCUGACGCGCGAUGGAUGUGCCAGGGCUUGCAAACUAUCACGGAUUACAAAGGGAAACCAAGCCGGGAGCUGCCCAGCAACGCAAGCCCACCAGACGAGCAAAUUCCUUCUAUUCUUGCUUUGAGUCAAGCAACACUGAACUAUGCAUGAGAGCACCAGCUGUUCCCGACGACUGAGUCUCGCUCUCCGUAGCCGGUAAAGAAGAUGGCGGAACGAAGAGAGGGCGGUGCAGCAGGUGCUGUUUCUCCUCCAGAUGCUGUUAUUUUAUCUAAAGAUUAGGUGUAUGCCAACCCCAGCUAACUAACUCUUGCAAAGAUUUAAAGCGCAAUUAUGUGUUUUAUCUCCAGUACAUUGCCACGAUUGUCAGCUAUGUAGCUGCUCUACUGAUAGUCUCAGCGCUUCCUUGCUGGGAUGACACAAUCAAUCUACUGUCGGGAAAUGCAAACUCCCCAGACAAACACCUGGGUUCACCAUUCCACACGAGCGGACAGUACACAUCAUACCAUAAUGUUCUGAAUAAUGGCCAACUCUACCUCGCUCCCUAUUCGACUGAAUCACUUGGGAGUAACAAACACAAGUCCAACACCUACCAGAAUCUGCUAAGCUACCUAUUCACUACCCUCCUGCUCUCUGGGGAGAUGCACCUCAACCCUGGGCCUAACACCACCGAACCAGAAAUACUCACCAGAGUGGAAAGCAGUGGAGGGCUGUGUCGUCAAAUCAUCGCCGCCACUGAGGUGGGUGAGUGUUAUGGUCCCAUGAUUUCUCUUGAGUCACCUGACUCCAAGAUGAAAUUUGACUCUACAAACAUAUCCAAGUCGCUAUACUCGAUCCCCGACUCUGCUUCUGGCACGCAAGCUGUUUUAAUUUGUUCCCCGCAUCCAAUGCAAGCGCAAGGGAUAGUUAAUUGCACUAACAAACUGCUCCUAUUCAAAACUAAACAAAACGGUCUAAACCCAGCAGUCAGAUAACACCAGUGUCUCACUCACGCUGGAGUCAUCUGGGACCCACAAGCUAAGCUCAAGGGGUACUAGAGGGGAACUUGAACAUUCACAGUGUCACUUCAAAAUGUGUUCACACAGAUUCCAACCUCGACUUCCUCAACCUUUCAGAGACACAGCUCCAUAAAAACUCUCCAUCUGCUGCUUUGAUUGUGAUUGGCUACAAUGUCUUCAGGAGAGACAGGAUUGAAGGAAGAGGAGGGGGUGUGAUGAUUUACAUUAAAGAACACAUCGAUGUAAACAAAUUGAGUGGUCAUGUGAUAAUGAACUAGAAUGUAUUGGCCUAAACGUUACACUGUCUCCCCAAAUGUCUUUUUACCCUCAUUGAAAUGUAUAGACCACCUUCCACCAAAAGUUUUUUUUAAACCAGUUUAAUAACAUACUUAGGAAAUUGGGAAAGAGUGGGAGAUCUUUUUUGGGAAAGAGUGGGAGAUCUUAACAUUAAUUAUGAAGACAAGUCUUGUAGGAAAACCCUCAAACGUAUCACUAAUGCCUUUGACCUUACACAGCCAACCAGGGUGACUUGUUCUUCUAAAACACAUAUCGAUUUGGUGUUCAGUAAUAAACCAGAGAGAUGGUUCAAUAUUCAAUAUGGCUACUGAGCUGUCUGACCAUAAUCUGACACUCAUAGCCAGAAAGCUUUCUAAGAACAGGUUUAACCUCUCUACUGUUAAAAAGCAUCAUAAACUCAGAAUACCUAAGGCUGAAUUUAAAUGAUUUUGAAAACGCAAUUAAGGGAAUUAACUGGAAUGAUCUUCUGUCCUAUACAAAUGUGGAAGCUGACAGUCAUGUUUUUCUAUCCACAAUCCUGACUACAGUAAAUGGCUUCCUAAAGAAAACUAAAUCCAAACCUGGCCAAAAUAGCACUCUUCCUUGUCUAAAUGGAGAAAUCUGGAAACUGAUGAAAGAACGAGAUCGUGCUCUAAAAAGUCCCUAAUUGGAGCAUGACAGAUGUAGGUUUACCAUGUUGAGAAAUAAGGUGAAGCCAAGGAAAAUUCUAAAAUGAUCUGGGAGAAUCGAAAAAAGUUAACAGGGAAAGACCAUAGCAACACUGCAAAAAGACUAGAACUCAAUGUGAAUUACAGUCUAACACAGGAUGCAGUCGAAACAACAGCCUUCAAUUUCUACUUUGUUGACUCUGUCAAUGUACUGACACAGAACACCUCCACUGGUUUCUUUGGCUCACUAAAGAACUCUAAAGCCAAAGAUGUGUUUGGGCUGGACUCUACCUUUCUUAAAAACUACAAAGAGUCACUCACUGGCCCCAUUACUAAGGGCACCAACACAUCUAUUUGCCAGGGGGUGUUUCCAGGGAUCUGGAAGUCGGCCAUAAUAACGCCCAUCUUUAAAUCAGGUGACCUUGCUGACGUGAGUAACUACAGACCCAUUGGUUUACUACCUGUGGUGUCGAAGGUUGCUGAAAAGUGUAUAGCAGAGAAUGAUUGCCCACCUCAACAACAGCCCCUUCACAUUACACUCCAUGCAGUUUGGCUUCAGCGCAAAACGCUCCACAGAAACGGCCAACUGCUUUCUUCUGGAAAAUGUGAAGUCCAAAAUGGACAAAGAGGGCGUUGUUGGGGCUGUGUUCUAGACCUAAGGAAAGCCUUUGAUACUGUUAACCAUGAGAUUCUCAUUACAAAACUGUCCAAGUUCAACUUUUCCCCCGAUGCCUUGAGAUGGAUGAAAUCAUACCUUGAAGGCAGAACCCUGUGUGUCAGAGUGAGCAAUGAGAUGUCUCCCACUCUUAGCUAAGAUGUGGGCAUGCCCCAAGGGUCAAUACUGGGGACCCUCCUGUUCAGUCUGUACAUUAAUGAUUUGCCCUCUGUCUCUGUCUGUACUGGGUCAUGAAGUUCAAAUGUCUGCAGAUGAUACAGUGAUAUAUGUGCAUGCAAAGAGCAAACAAGCUGCACAAGGACUCUACUGCAUUGGUCCAUAUUACAAAGUGGCUCAGUGACUCAUGUUUGCGUCUCAAUGUGUUUGUUAUUCACUGUGCAUUUAUUCCCCGUGUCACUAUUUCAAUUGUAUUUUUAUGUUUUAAUCUUUAUCUUUAACUCUGCAUUGUUGGAAAGGACCCGUAAGUAAGCAUUUCACUGUUAGCCUACCAUCUGUUGUUUACGAAGUGUGUGACAAAUACAAUUUGAUUUGAUUUGACUUCCUGUGACUCACUUCCCCUCUGCAUGUUGGGCUCUGCUGAGAUUAACACACACACACAAUGGGGAAAAACCC